rnacentral:misc_RNA from 1 species
UCCAGCAGCCGCGGUAAUACGUUCCCGGGCCUUGUACACACCGCCCGUCACACCACGAGAGUUUGUAACACCCGAAGUCGGUGGGGUAACCGUAAGGAGCCAGCCGCCUAAGGUGGGACAGAUGAUUGGGGUGAAGUCGUAACAAGGGAGCCGUAUCGGAAGGUGCGGCUGGAUCACCUCCUUUCUAAGGAAUAUAUACCGUGACCAUUGGUCACAUAAAACUUUAAAUCUCUGGAGUUAAUUGUUUGGUGUUUAGUUUUGAGAGAGCAAUCUCUCUUAAGUUUUUUGCGUAAGCAAAAUAGCUUUCCAUAAAUUGU